rnacentral:misc_RNA from 1 species
AAAGUCGUAACAAGGUUUCCGUAGGUGAACCUGCGGAAGGAUCAUUAGAAAUUGGGAUGGAAUAUAUUUGAACACUGUAGGUAUUGGAGCAUUAGCCAAAAUACAAACAGCAAAGACACAUUUUACAUUGACAAAAAGAAAGAUUUAUAUGAGCACCUUGCUGCAAUGGAUCUCUCGGCUCUU